rnacentral:tRNA from 1 species
GCCGAAGUGGUGGAACUGGUAGACGCGCAGGCUUCAGGUGCCUGUGAGGGUUUUCCUCGUGGGGGUUCGAGUCCCCCCUUCGGCA